rnacentral:rRNA from 1 species
UACGUAGGGGGCAAGCGCUAUCCGGAUUCACUGGGCGUAAAGGGAGCGCAGGCGGCACGGCAAGUCUGGUGUGAAAACCCGGGGCUCAACCCCGGGACUGCAUUGGAAACUGCCGGGCUGGAGUGUCGGAGGGGUAAGCGGAAUUCCUAGUGUAGCGGUGAAAUGCGUAGAUAUUAGGAGGAACACCAGUGGCGAAGGCGGCUUACUGGACGAUGACUGACGCUGAGGCUCGAAAGCGUGGGGAGCAAACAGG